CAUGCACCCAUGUCAUAUUUUGGACAUUUUUGAAGCCGGCCAAUGUAAUUUACCCCCAUCAAACCAUAUAUUUUUGAAAAGUAGACACACUACGAUAUUUCAAAUGGUGGUAUUUAAACAUUUUCCAGGCACUAAUUCUACAAACAGUCUUUGUCAAAUGUUUGGGUAGUCAAAAUACCACCUUCAAAUGGUGGCAUUUUAACAGUUGCCAUGCACUACGGUAAUUCCUUCACCAGUCUUUGUCAGACUUUUGGGUAAUUACUUUUGUAACCGCGGCUGGUUCCCUUAUUUACCACUAUAACGUCUUAAAGCAUAGAACUUAGUAGGGCUAACCAUACAGAUAUCUUAGC